rnacentral:lncRNA from 1 species
CUGUGCAUUAUAACAUGCUAAAACCCUUCAGUGGUAUCAGAGCCAUCCUUAAUUGGUUCAAUCAAAUAAUUAUGUAUGAUGUAUGAUUAUUAAUUUACUAUGAGAUAGUAAUGUCAUAUGCUUAGAGAAAUGCUGAAAUGUAUGAUUAAUAUAUGAUAUGUUAUGUAAUAAAAUAUCAUGAUAUGAAAUUUUUCAUAUGAAAAUAUGUUGAAGCAUGUUAAUUAAUUGCUUAUGAUUUAUACAUGCUAUGAGAUAGC